UACGUAGGGGGCAAGCGUUGUCCGGAUUUAUUGGGCGUAAAGAGCGUGUAGGCGGCCAGGUAGGUCUGCUGUGAAAACUCGAGGCUUAACCGCGAGCUGUCGGCGGAAACCAUCUGGCUAGAGUCCGGAAGAGGAGAAUGGAAUUCCCGGUGUAGCGGUGAAAUGCGCAGAUAUCUGGAGGAACACCGGUGGCGAAGGCGGCAUCCUGGACCGGCAUUGACGCUGAGGCGCGAAAGCCAGGGGAGCAAACGGG
rnacentral:rRNA from 1 species